AGAACGAACGCUGGCGGCAUGCCUAAUACAUGCAAGUCGAACGAACACUUCGGUGUUAGUGGCGCACGGGUGCGUAACGCGUGGGAAUCUGCCCUUGGGUUCGGAAUAACAGUUGGAAACGACUGCUAAUACCGGAUGAUAUCGAAAGAUCAAAGAUUUAUCGCCCAGGGAUGAGCCCGCGUAGGAUUAGCUAGUUGGUGAGGUAAAGGCUCACCAAGGCGACGAUCCUUAGCUGGUCUGAGAGGAUGAUCAGCCA
rnacentral:rRNA from 1 species